UACGGGGGGGGCAAGCGUUGUUCGGAAUUACUGGGCGUAAAGGGCUCGGUAGGCGGCCAACUAAGUCAUACGUGAAAUCCCCCGGCUUAACCGGGGAACUGCGUCUGAUACUGGAUGGCUUGAGUUCGGGAGAGGGAUGCGGAAUUCCAGGUGUAGCGGUGAAAUGCGUAGAUAUCUGGAGGAACACCGGUGGCGAAGGCGGCAUCCUGGACCGAUACUGACGCUGAGGAGCGAAAGCCAGGGGAGCAAACGGGG
rnacentral:rRNA from 1 species